rnacentral:rRNA from 1 species
UUGGAGGGCAAGUCUGGUGCCAGCAGCCGCGGUAAUUCCAGCUCCAAUAGCGUAUAUUAAAGUUGUUGCAGUUAAAAAGCUCGUAGUUGAAUUUCGGGGUUAGUAGGUUGGUCAUGCCUCUGGUAUGUACUGGUCUCACUGAUUCCUCCUUCCUGAUGAACCGUAAUGCCAUUAAUUUGGUGUUGCGGGGAAUUUGGACUGUUACUUUGAAAAAAUUAGAGUGUUUAAAGCAAGCUAACGCUUGAAUACAUUAGCAUGGAAUAAUGAAAUAGGACGUUCGAUCCUAUUUUGUUGGUUUCUAGGAUUGACGUAAUGAUUAAUAGGGAUAGUUGGGGGCGUUAGUAUUCAAUUGUCAGAGGUGAAAUUCUUGGAUUUAUUGAAGACUAACUACUGCGAAAGCAUUUGCCAAGGAUGUUUUCAUUAAUCAAGAACGAAAGUUAGGGGAUCGAAGACGAUCAGAUACCGUCGUAGUCUCAACCAUAAACGAUGCCGACUAGGGAUCGGAUGAUGUUAAUUUUAUAAUGACUCAUUCGGCGCCUUACGGGAAAC